rnacentral:rRNA from 1 species
UACGAAGGGUGCAAGCGUUACUCGGAAUUACUGGGCGUAAAGCGUGCGUAGGUGGUUUGUUAAGUCUGUUGUGAAAGCCCCGGGCUCAACCUGGGAAUGGCAAUGGAUACUGGCAAGCUAGAGUGCGGUAGAGGGUAGUGGAAUUCCCGGUGUAGCGGUGAAAUGCGUAGAGAUCGGGAGGAACACCAGUGGCGAAGGCGGCUACCUGGCCGGCCCUGACACUGAGACGCGAAGGCGUGGGGAGCGAACGGG